GAUGAACGCUGGCGGCGUGCCUAAUACAUGCAAGUAGAACGCUGAAGGAAGGAGCUUGCUCUUUCCGGAUGAGUUGCGAACGGGUGAGUAACGCGUAGGUAACCUGCCUGGUAGCGGGGGAUAACUAUUGGAAACGAUAGCUAAUACCGCAUAACAGUAGAUGUUGCAUGAUAUCUACUUAAAAGGUGCAAUUGCACCACUACCAGAUGGACCUGCGUUGUAUUAGCUAGUUGGUGAGGUAACGGCUCACCAAGGCGACGAUACAUAGCCGACCUGAGAGGGGGAUCGGCCACACUGGGACUGAGACACGGCCCAGAAGCCUACGGGAGGCAGCAGUAGGGAAUCUUCGGCAAUGGACGGAAGUCUGACCGAGCAACGCCGCGUGAGGGAAGAAGGUUGUCGGAUCGUAAAGCUCGGUUGUAAGAGAAGAACGAGUGUGAGAGUGGAAAGUUCACACUGUGACGGUAGCUUAACAGAAAGGGACGGCUAACUACGUG
rnacentral:rRNA from 1 species